GAAAAGGCACAUUUUGACAGAUCCUGCUCAGAGAAUAUAAAAAUGCAUUAACAUAAUGGCUCAGUGCUUUAGUUAUAUUUCUGCUAAUCCCCUGACUUGCUAGUAAUUAAUUAUAGUCCUCAUAAUGAGCUCUGGAGUCAGGACACCAAGACUUAUAUAAGCCUCUCUUAAGUGUUAGAUUUAUGAUGUACUGCUCACAGUUGUAGUAAUUCAACUGGCUCAGGACAGGGCUAUGAUGCAUAAGGUGGUAUCACCCCAAGUAAACAAAUAGGAUAGUUCCAUACAGAUUGGGAAUUAUUAAUUUGUAUGCUUUCAGUCUGUAGAAGUAGAGCAAAUGAUUCUUUUACCACUUGGGGAUACUGAGCAAUAAACCAUUAUGAGCACACAAAAAAGCAAUUUAUAUGAACACUAUACUUCUAGCCUUCCCUUCAAGCCCCUGGCUCUGUCGGGUAUUGGAAUAUUAAAUUGGCUUCAUUCAUUUAGUGAAGAUUUCAUUGAGCUCUCUUGGAACUAAAGUGGAGCAUCCCCAGUCUGCCCUUGCAAGCUUCCCGCUUUUCUCUGCAGAACAUGGCAAAUGUGUGAAUGAGAAUGGAACAAAUUGCCUUAUUUUCACAUGAAACAAAUUGGCUCAGCAUAUGGUCAGAAACAAAUUGUGCUGUGGUUAUGGUGUAUUCCUGCAUUGUAAACCUUACUGCGUCAGCAGCAUCCUGAUUCACAUUGAAUAGGAUGAGGUAUUUUCUCUGAUAAAACACACACACUUGACAUGCACACUUCUGCUUGUCCUGCCACUUUCCAGUUUUUUUGUAGAUCAACGUUUGUUCCGAUUCAGCGGUAAGCAGCGAGUUUUUCCAGGCAAAGCAGCAGAACAAAUGAAAAAACCACUUGGUGGACCUAUGCCUAGAUAAUACGGGGCAAGCUGAAAACCUCUCAAACCUGUGCUUUCAAGGCAUGGGACAAGUGGAAGUGUGUGACAUAGAACACUGCAUUUCAGGAAUCUUGUAAAAUGUAGAGGCUGCUUUAACAAUGUUUGUACCUGUGAAGGUGAUUUGAGAAUCUCUGUCUGGUUUUUGUGCUUUAAUGGCUGCUAUUCCUUUUCUCAGCACAAAAGCUGCACUGAACUGAAUGUGUGAACGCGGGGGUUUCUCUGACAAUAUAGGCUCGACUUAGCCAGGCCCAUGGAGCUUCCUGUUCCUAACCAGGUGUGCCACAAACCUCUGCUUCCUGGUUCAGUUGUAGCAGCUACACAAAUGAUCUGGCGAAUGAUCUAUCAAAUCCUGCCUGCCUAACCAGUGGCUCUUCCCAGGAUUCUGAAAGAACUAUCUCAAUCUGGGGCUUGCUAUAGUAACGAUUUGCCUCUCAAUUUUUAUUGGGGCUUGCUGAAGAAUUCUUUUUAGCAGGUUCUAACUUACAGGGGCAGAGUGAUUCCUGCUUCAGAUGAAUGCAGGAUUUCAUCUUUUUAUUCUAUCACAGAAAGGCAAGCCGGAGGCCUACUCCAGAUCUCUCCCCGGUAAAUUGCCAGACCAUAUUUGAGUAUGGUAAUAACAUGCCUGUUAAGCACUAAGUCUGAGCACUAACUUCCAAUGCACUUAAAAUAUACAUGCCAUGGGUUUAGCUUUUCUGCUGUGCAGGCACAAGAUGCUAACCUAAGAUGGCUCAACUAUGAAAGAAACUGAAAGUUUAAUGUGCUAGCUCAUCAAAGGAACUUUUCUGGAUCACAGGAUUUCAUUCUAAAUUAAGUACUUCUACUACAUAUUAUGAACUAUGUAAUAUGAGCGGAUUAAAGUUAAACUAGAAGAACCAGAUGCACAAAUAUAGGAUGGGGGACACCUGGCUUACUAGCAGUACAUGUGAAAAGGAUCUAGGGGUCUUGGUGGACAACAAGCUUAACAUGACUCAAUAGUAUGAUGCAGCAGCAAAAAAAGCUAAUGCUACUCUAGGCUGCAUCAACAGAAGUAUAGUGUCCAGAUCAAGGGAAGUAAUAGUACCACUCUGUUCUGCCUUGGUCAGACCACACUUGGAAUACUGUGUCCAAUUCUGGGCACCACAAUUUUAAGAAGGAUGUUGACAAGCCGGAACGUGUGCAGAGAAGGGCAAUCAGGAUGAUCAAGGAUCUGGAAACUUAAGCCUUACGAGGAGUACUUGAAGGAGCUGGGUAUGUUUAGCCUGGAAAAAGAGGGAGACUAAGAGGAGAUUUGAUAGGCAUCUUCAGAUAACUUAAGGGCUGUCACAUGGAGGAGGGAGCAUGCGCUUUUUCCCUGCUCUGGAGGGUAGGACUUGAACCAAUGGCUUCAAGUUGCAAGAAAGGAGAUUACAACUAAACAUUUGGAAAAACUUUGACAGUAAGAGCUGUUCAGCAGUGGAACAGACUCCCAUGAGAGGUGAUGGAUUCUCCUUCCUUGGAGGUUUUUAAGCAGAGGUUGGAUGGCUAAGAGCUGAGAUUCCUGCAUUGCAGGGGUUGGACUAAAUGACCCUUAGGAUCCUUUCCAACUCCCAUCAGCCCCAGCCAGCAUAGCCAACAUCAAGGGAUUAUGGGUAUUGUGGUCCAGCAAGGUUUGGAGAGGCACAAGGCCAGGGAAGGUUGCAAAUUGUUAGGUGUGAUUAAGCCUGGUAUCUUUGCUGCCUGAGGUGAGAAGGGAAAUAGCUCAGGAGUGUGGCAGAUGUGCUGCUCCUAGGCACUUUUUUCUGAAAAGUGACUUAUGGAGCUGCUGUAGGAGAAGUGAAUGAGGAGGAGGCCAAAGUCAGAUCCCCACUUUCCAUCAACUCUCAAUAUACGAGUUUUGAGUGAAAACUAAGAGUGUUGAGGUUCUGAGAUGAGACUUUCAAAUUGAUUGUCUGGCACCACUAAAAUACUGCAUACUCCUUUCUCUGUAGGCAAACUGCCAGCCAAUUGAGGGGUUUCAAGGAGCUCUACCUCAGGGGAAUUCAUAAACUGUCAUUAAACUCUAUGAAAUAUUUUUUGCAGAAAGCUAUAAACCAGAGUACCUUCUUGCACAAUGGACUCCGCUGUGCUUUUAUAUUGAAUCUUGCACCUUAGCUAGACACUGACCAAUGCCUUAAGCUUGCCUGGAGGGGAGAGGGGGCAGCAGAUUAAUGCCUCUCGCUUAUCACUUUUCACCUUUUCCUCUACUCAUCUUUCAUCACUUCCUAGCUGCCACUGAACCAAGAUAGCUGUAGUUGAUGAACCCUUGAGGCUCUCCUGACAGAAGAAUCCCAACCACCUUAAAGUUAUAAGCCUUGGGUUUCCCACACGUGUAAAAAAUGGAUAAAAGCAGAAGCAAGGAUAAAUCCUGUUGGAAGUGGCUCCGUGGUUGCCCUUACAUUUUCUUUUAUUGGAUAUUGGGUUGCAACUUUCUCACUCUGCUCCUGGAUGCAAAGCAUAUUGUAAUAUAGAAAUAUGAAGUGCCUGUCAUUUCCAUACACUCAACUUAAUUAAACUACUUGCAUUCAUUCCCAGGCAGGAGUGAGCCUUUCAAUGUGACAGGCGGCAGCAAGGGAGGGGAGGGAGAAAUUACUCCUAGCUGAAUGAUCCCAGCAAAUAAGUUACCCUCUCAGAGGAAAUCAAGCCAGGCCUGGCCUGGCAGUAGUGGUAGUAUAUGUUAUAUUGAUUAUUGCUAAAGCAAGGCGAGUAAAUAGGAUAAUUGCACUCUGAUUUCACUGGGGAUUGAGCAUAUUUGUUUUGAAAAUAUCACACCUGUCCUUCUUAACAGCAGGAGUGCUAUCCUUUUGACAGCUAAGAAUAAAUCUGUACAAAAAAUGAAGACUGCCUUUGCAGUUGUCUUUGUGAGAAAAUGAAAGCAGAAGAACAAAAAUGAACCCAUCUUCAAUAUUUACAGAAUGCUAAUCGGAGUAGAUCUAUGCAUAGUCUAGUAGCUAGGCUUAAUAUCUAAACUGCAUAUUUUUAUUCACUGCUUCUAAAAGUUCUUUGUAAUGGAAAUCUUGAAGCUGUUUUCCAUUGAAUCUAAUUUCCUUUUGUUUUGCCUCUCACCCAUUUCCCACAUGCCUCCUCUUCAUGGUCAACUUUUGGACAAUUGAUCCCUUCUGAUAAAGAAACUGGUGUCGGCAUUAAGGAAAAUGCUGCAUGUGUACAUGGAUGGUAAAACCUCUUUCAGGUGUUUGCGUGCAUGUCCACAUGUAAGCAUACAUUUUAUUCUAGUUCAUUCAGAAAUGAUAUCACAGAGCUAGAAAAAGUGCCAAAAAGGUUAACCAAUAUGGUAAGAGGGGACUGGAACAAACCUGCUAUGAGGAAAGGUUACAACAUUUGGGGCUUUUCAUUUAGAAAAAAAGCAGCAGUAUCCAAUGUUAGACCUACUGUAGUUUAUGGACAUGACUAACUUAGGUUCAUUAUUUCAGGGAGUCUACUCUGAGUAGAACUUAGUUGGAAACACUCCAAGGUGGGUAAGGUGGGGAUGUGAUAGAAGUAUAUAGUUAUUUAUGGUGUGAGUGUAGACAAAGGUUUUUGGUUUUGUUUGUUUGUUUGCUCUUUCUCAAGAUCAUUCAAUAAAGCUGAAUGGUGGGGGAUUCCGGCUGAAUUUGUGCUAUGUUAUUCACUAUAAGAGAUGUGGUGAUGGCCACCAACUUAGGGCUUAUCCACACUUCCUUUUGUCCCACUGCUUUCACUUGGGGAAAACUGCUCUUUAGCACUCAGUCAGAGCAAAUGGGAAUUUGGGUUUUCUCUGGAUUGAUGUUUGCUCCGGUUUAGCACUAAAGGGUGGGUUUUCUCUGGGAAAGUAAUGAGGCAAGAAGAAAAGUGCUUAGAUCCAUGCUGAGAAAAUGUGGGUCAAGCAGAAAGCUGCUCAGUCCAGUGCUUUCUAGGCACAAGAAAGCGGAAGUGUGGACAAGCCCUUAGACUGAAAACCUAGUUGAAUUCAUUAGGACUUAACUCUGGAGGUGGUUUAGGAUGGCACUGUUGGAUGGCUUUGAAAGGAAAUCAGACAAAAACAUGGAAGACCAUGGCUGUGUGAUACUUCCAUGGCCAGAAACAACAUACUUGGGGAGGGGAGCAACAAUGAAGAACAGCUAAAGUCCGUAAGUUCUUCCUGAGCGGCUUCCCAUAAACAUCCUCAGUGCUCAUUCUUUUCUGUUCUCAUUCUCUUGCACAAGGAAUUUUAACUGGUUGUUACGGAGCUACCAUUUAAAACACGGUGACGUGUGAGAGAAUUGCUUAAAGCUAUCAGAGUUUCUAGCAAAUUCUCUUUAAGUUUUCUGUGCCACACAUUUUAAAGAACAGACCAAAACCCAGAACAGACCUCAGGGCUUAUGCUUGAUCAACUACUCUCUCUAGUUCUCAAAAAGAACAAAAAUAAAACUCAAGAACAAAAAGGCCCCAUGGCCAUUUCUUGUGCAAGAAAAAAAAGUGUCAGUUUUUGAGAUGUGAAAUGGCAGGGGUGGGGAGUCCAAGGGAGCUUUUUGUUUGUUUUGAAAUGUGCACUUUGUUAAAGUGGUUGUCAAAAGGGUGAAUCAGGUGAAAUAACUUAUGCUGAAGUGCAGAUCAAUAAGAAAUUACUGAGACAGUAAAUUUAAAUGGGAAAGGAAGACAGUCAAAAUGCAGAGUGCCUGUAAGGAAGGAAGGGAGUUAUGUAACUUCUGUUCGCCAGACACUAACAGCUGGAUUUUCUGGGGCUUCUCUGAGCCGUAAGGCAUUUUUUUCUGUUCUCCAACUGUGGAACUACCAGUUUCCUCCUCCUCCUCCAGCACUCAUGCCCAAUUCUUUUGAAUUCUGACUUUGCAAGGGUGCUUGGAUUAAUCUACUCUCAGGAAUAAAUAACUUCUUGUAAUUCACUGCCCUUUUCUUUUCAGUUGCUUUGGAGGAAAUUGUGUGGUACAGUUUGCUGGCUGCAGCACGGUUGUUUGUGAACAAUGGAGCGGUGUCUUGAGUAAUUCUGCCCAGGAAAUUUGGGUUUGCCAGCAGAGCUGUGAAAACUUGGUCAGAAUACACAAUGUGCUUUAUGGUAUCUUAAAGGUUCUUAUAUGGAGUCUAUAUGGAUUUCACUUCCCCACAAACUCAGAUGGGCUCCUAUCCAGAUAGUCUGUAGGGCCAAACCUGUGUCAGAGAUAGAAUUGUACAAGUAGGGCCUGAAAACAAAACAUUGCAGUGUACAGGGCUGUUCUUAAGAAAUCCAGCCCAUCUCUUUUUAGGAUGCUCCAUCCUUUCCACUCCCCUGGUUUUCUAUUCACGUUGCACAACAGAGAGCCAGCAUUCUAUGGCUGGUGAAGACCAAGAGACUUGCAGUGGAUCUCUCCUACCCUCUGUACAACUGCACUCUCAUAUACCCAGAUGGAUGCUGUGCUUGCCAGAGCAUGCUUAUUCUCCUCUCUCCCUUAUGUCAGCAGAGGCUGCUGCUGUUUCUCUUCUUCACCAUCACCUGCUCCCUCAGCCUCUCCUUUUCUGGGCACAGUCAAAGUGGUGCUAUGGAGGACGAACAAGAACAGCACCUUGACAACAGUGUCCUUGCCCACCCACCCUCUCCUUCUGCCCCAGUGGGUUGGUUGGCUGGUGGGUGAGUGAGUGCUGCUACUUCCACAAUCCCAUGACCCUGGGGUGGGCAGGAGAAGGGAGCAAACACCGACAACUGUUUUUACUCCUCCAUAUGAUGCUGCAUUGGGCUGAAGAGUAGCAGCACAGAAGGGGCUGGCAAGGUAGUGAUGAUGAAGAGGAGGAACAGCUGUUGUCAUCUGGUGGCAGUUUGUAUUGUGUGCACUCAGGUAAAACUAUACCUGAUAUGUCUGAUAAUGCAGAUGCCGUUCGUUAUCUGCAUCUGAUAAUGCAGAUGCAGUUUCUGCAUGAUGAGUUUGCCUUUCAGGAGGUUUUGGACAUGGAGGGCUUAAUUUCAAAGCUGUGAUCGCCCCCCUCCCGAUAUGAAUUGAGAGGUAUUGUUACAUGGGAGAAUGUAUCAUGUGCAUCCCUCAAGAUCUAGUUGGGGAGCAACUAAAAAUUGAAGCAUGUUAUAGACUGGCAGAUAGUGCAGUCUAGCCACUUCAGCAGAAAUGGCUUGCAACACAAGCAGGGAUUUUGUAAACUUAUAAGAAUCCUGGCUGCUAAUCUUAGUGUGUAGUUGUAAGAUAAGGGCAACUGAGUUUUCGCCUUUAAAAAAAUCCACCAGAGACCUAAUCGAGAGCUCACAUUUGAGAAGCUGCAGUGAUUGACUAGCAGUGUUUCUUGUUACAUCCCAGUAAGCUGUGCUGCCAGCAGGUAAUCAGUGUGCUACAGUUCUGUAUCUAAGUGUUGUUCUUAUCUGGACCACUUUGCAGGGCCGUUAGAUGUAAAAUGUAGGGGUGGAUGGAGGAUAUUGGCAACCCCUCAGGGGGUGGGACUUUCACUUGCUGAUCCUUCAGUAGUUUUAAGGUUCUUUUUCCUUCCAUCCUAGGCUUAGAGAUUUAGUUGUACCAUAAUAUGGGUAUUGCUGCCUGUCAGCUUGACCUUUAAAGAGGAAAAUAUAUUGUAGCUGUGUAGCAUAUCUGAGCUUAGUGCCCAGGGUACCACCUAGAUGCAUGCUUUUCUGCUUAACCAGAUCAUUCCUCACUAGAGAGGUUGAUAGAAGCAGUUGCUUUAUUUGCUGCCAAUGAGAGAACGAGCGACCCAAAUGUUCUAGUGUAGUGCACUUUGAAAGGCACCACAGAGACAGGAUGCUUCCUCUGUAGCAUGGAUAACAAGCAAAAUUAGUCAAAAUAAAAAUAAUUCAACCCUAAUGAGUUAAGUGGUAGCAUGCAGAGCCCAAGAAAAGAAGACUCUUGGCAUCCUAGUUCUCUGGGCAACUAAACAUUUGUCUGAUGCCAUUAAGAUACAGUAUUUUACCUAUGCACAUACAGAGUUAAGGUACGCGGGUGGCGCUGUGGGUUAAACCACAGAGCCUAGGACUUGCCAAUCAGAAGGUUGGCGGUUCGAAUCCCCGUGACGGGGUGAGCUCCCGUUGCUCGGUCCCUGCUCCUGCCAACCUAGCAGUUCGAAAGCACGUCGAAGUGCAAGUAGAUAAAUAGGUACCACUCCGGCGGGAAGGUAAACGGCGUUUCUGUGCGCUGCUCUGGUUUGCCAGAAGCGGCUUAAUCAUGCUGGCCACAUGACCCGGAAGCUGUACGCCGGCUCCCUCAGCCAAUAAAGCGAGAUGAGUGCCGCAACCCCAGAGUCGGUCACGACUGGACCUAAUGGUCAGGGUCCCCUUUACAUACAGAGUUGGCUCCUAAAUAUUUGGUGCUGGCUUGUACAAGCUUGUGCAGAAACAAACACACCACACCUCCUCUGAAUCUGAGCUUGAUUUCAGCCUGUGCCUAUGGCAGAAUGCCAGAAAGCUAUUUUUGCCAUCCCUGGAUAUAUUUGAGUUCCAAAUGAUGCGUUUAAACCCACAUUGACAACUGCUGCUGAUCACACACUUAAGGGUUAUGUAACUUGCAUUAAGACAGGAUCUUUUGCAGAUCACCUAAUAACUUUCAUUAUAAGAGCCACAGCCAUGAUAAACAAAGGUCCUUUAUCAUAUGUUUUGUUUUGUUUUGAGUUUCCAUCUAUCACAUUUUAGGCUUUCAUUUAUGUAUGUCCAAGAAAGCUGGACCACUGCCUUGCCCCUUGGCAUCGUUGUUCCAAGGCACCAUUACAGUUGUGGGAUCUGUACAAUAGAUGUGGGACCUGUGGCCCCCUAGAUGUUGCUGCAGCUAUUGCUUCCAUUAUCUCUAACCAUUGGCCAUGCUGGCUGAGACUGAUGGGAGUUGGAGCCCAGCAACCUGGGCCACAGGUUUACCCACUUUGGAAAAUGACAUUGUAAGUCACAGAAUGCCACCCUUUAUUUUACACAGUGGAGCAAGGAGUGUUAAUGUGUUUUUUUGUUUAUGAAUUUAAUUUCAGCAUUAAAACCAGCUGCCAUCUUUGGAUAAUUAUUUGAGAUAAUUAAAUAAAAUGAAGCAGCAAAGUUUUCCUCAAGGAUCCAUAAAAUUUCUCUCUUCCUUUUGAACUCCAGUCCCUCUGUGGUAUUUGUAGCCAUGUUUUGGUCUCCUUUUUGCAAUCCCAUGACUACCUCUGUUGAUUUCUCAUGCUGGAUAUUAAUUAUUUGGCUGUAUCUGCUCCUCUGUGCAGCAGUAUAUUAAAACACUAUAUCUAUAUCUCUGGUGAAUACUCAAGGCUUCACAAUAUGGAAAAAUGCAAGAAGUUUUGAAACCAAUAAAUCUGUGCUGCACAGGGUUAUGAAUGUGAGAAAUCUCUUUUUAAUUUCAAGUUUGUGCUGAAAGUUUAACAUCCAUUCCCCCCUUUAAAUAUUAAUGUGUUGUUUGUGAAAGGUGAGAAUGAGAGGAAUAAAGGGCUGUGUGCUUAGUCUUGUAUUUUUCAAAAUUAGCAAAAUCACCAAUAUGUACAAAAGUAUAUAUCUAUUUUUUUAAAAAAACAGUAUACAACCAUUGUACUUCUUAUUUUAAGUUUUUCAUCCUGCAGUCUUCUAGCUUUUGUGAGGGCAUCUCAUAGGCUGUUGCAAAAAAGAAACAGUCAGAUCUCCAUCUCUUGCUUCCACUGGGAAAACACCUACCAGCACCAGUGGCUCCUCAGUGUGCUCCCAAACCCAUGAUACAUAUCUCAGGAGCUGGGGUACAUCUAUUCCUUGUAUUUCCCUCCUCUUGAAACAAUAGUGUUUUGUUUUUUUAAAAUAUUGCAAAAAAGAAGAUGACAGAAAUGUGCAAGAGCUGGUUUUUAACCAAGGUGGAAACCAGUGCAGAGAUGCAUUUGUCACUAGAUUGAAGCAAGAAGCAACUAAAUAUGGUUUUGCCAUUUGCUAUUUAGGAACAAUGCCAGAUAAUACAGAACAAUCGGGAACAGAGAGAGGGAAGCAGAGGGAAAAUAUAUUUAUAAAAGAUGCAAAAUAUUUUCCAGAGUUGGGUUUUCCAAUCAGAGCUUGGUGUAGUACUUGUGCAUCUGCCAAGAACAAUUGGAACAGUGCUAGCUCUUACAUGUCCUCGUAUUCUGUGUAAUAAAACUGCUUCUCUGUGUCUGUUCAGAUGAAAUUUAUUUUGGCUGGCAAAAAGGGCACUAUAAACAAGAAAAGGGCAUUUACCCCUUUGUGUUGCUAAUAAUGUAGUGUAGCAGAUUUGAGUUGACAAAUUUCACAUUGGUCAUUGUUUUCUGAUUC